AACGAACGCUGGCGGCAGGCUUAACACAUGCAAGUCGAACGCCCCGCAAGGGGAGUGGCAGACGGGUGAGUAACGCGUGGGAAUCUACCCAGAUCUACGGAACAACAGUUGGAAACGACUGCUAAUACCGUAUACGCCCUACGGGGGAAAGAUUUAUCGGAUUUGGAUGAGCCCGCGUUGGAUUAGCUAGUUGGUGGGGUAAUGGCCUACCAAGGCGACGAUCCAUAGCUGGUCUGAGAGGAUGAUCAGCCACACUGGGGCUGAGACACGGCCCAGACUCCUCCGGGAGGCAGCAGUGGGGAAUAUUGGACAAUGGGCGCAAGCCUGAUCCAGCCAUGCCGCGUGAGUGAUGAAGGCCUUAGGGUUGUAAAGCUCUUUCACCGAUGAAGAUAAUGACGGUAGUCGGAGAAGAAGCCCCGGCUAACUUCGUGCCAGCAGCCGCAGUAACAC
rnacentral:rRNA from 1 species